rnacentral:rRNA from 1 species
GAAGAGGGAAGAGCCCAGCACCGAAGUUUGCGGCAGUUUUGCUGUUAAACAAUGUGGUGUGAGGGUCGGCUCGCGGAAUCGUCACUCCACUCGAAGUCCAGCAUUGAGUAUGGUUAUCACUGGAUUUGGCCCAGAGAGGGUGAGAGGCCCGUACGGGUGGAGGUCCAGACAUGUUAGACGAUUCACCAGGCCGGCCUCAGAGUCGGGUUGUUUGAGAUUGCAGCCCAAAGAGGGUGGUAAACUCCAUCCAAGGCUAAAUACUAGCACGAGUCCGAUAGCGAACAAGUACCGUGAGGGAAAGUUGAAAAGUACUCUGAAGAGAGAGUAAACAGUACGUGAAGCCGCAUGCAGGUAAACGGAUGGCGUCAAGCUGCGAGCCCAGAGAAUUCAGCUGGCUAGGAUGUAGUGUGCGUACUGCCUGGUGCGCCGAGAGGCCGGAAUAAGAUGUGGUGGUCUACUCCUCUACUGGGAGUGGGGUCGCAAUCGGUGCUAUUCACGUAGUGUCGGUUGUGGCUAUGUAUGCCGGAUGGGUGCCGGAGCAUAUCGCCUGUCUGUUGGGCCAUCUAGUCAGUGCAUUUUCUCUGUGGUGAACACCACGACCGGUGGAACUGCCAGUCUGCUGUAAUCAAGUCGUGUUCUCCUGGCGCGUUACUGUGUUGGGUGGAUACGAUCGCAGGCAGAGUCGGUGGACGGCGCAGUGGUGCUUCGGUACUGCCGCGUGUUAUCGUGCACUCUUUGUCGUAAACAAUUGGCUGGGUGUAGACUGUAACACUUGCUUGGUCAAUUGGCGGAUUACAGUGGUAAAAGUGACUGUGCAGGGCACCGGGGUUAGCCACCUCAUUAAAUAUGGUAUCCGGCACACACGUUACAGGUGAAUAAUUAUGUGAUAGGGGUAGUGCCGCUGUCUGUCUUGCAUUGGAUCUGAUUGUCGUGUUGCCUGCAAAAAGUAGGUCCGGCAGUGGUUACGAUGCUUGGCAGCUUGCAGUGUGUUGCCUGCCUCGUAAAUGUGUUUGUGGUACCGGGGGUGAAAUAGUCAGUGGUGCUGUGGUAGACUAGCUAUCCGACCCGUCUUGAAACACGGACCAAGGAGUUUAACAUGUAUGCGAGUCAAAGGGUCCUACGAAACCCCGAGGCGCAGUGAAAGUGAAGUUCAUGCUGUAUUCCUAUCAUACGCGCAAUACAGUGUGGCGAGGUGAGAUCCUGUUGUACUCAUGACACACGCCUUUAGACAACCUCUACUGGGCAUUAAACGGGGCAACAGGCGCAUCACCGGCCCGUCCCAUGAUGUGGUCAUAGGUAUAUACUUGUACGUGGAGGGUGUGCGUUGGCGGGAGAGGGUACUUGUUGCCAUCUAACGUUGCGUGCACAAGAAGCGUGCAAAGCCUGUGCGUCAUCGGGGCGGAGCAUGAGCAUACAUGUUGAGACCCGAAAGAUGGUGAACUAUGCUUGCGUAGGUUGAAG